rnacentral:rRNA from 1 species
GAUGAACGCUAGCGGCAGGCUUAACACAUGCAAGUCGAGGGGUAGAAGGAGCUUGCUCCUUUGAGACCGGCGCACGGGUGCGUAACGCGUAUGCAAUCUACCUUUUGCAGAGGGAUAGCCCAGAGAAAUUUGGAUUAAUACCUCAUAGUAUGUGAGGAUGGCAUCAUUUUCACAUUAAAGUCACAACGGCAAAAGAUGAGCAUGCGUCCCAUUAGCUAGUUGGUAAGGUAACGGCUUACCAAGACAAUGAUGGGUAGGGGUCCUGAGAGGGAGAUCCCCCACACUGGUACUGAGACACGGACCAGACUCCUACGGGAGGCAGCAGUGAGGAAUAUUGGUCAAUGGGCGCAAGCCUGAACCAGCCAUGCCGCGUGCAGGAAGACGGUCCUAUGGAUUGUAAACUGCUUUUAUACAGGAAGAAACCCUCCCACGUGUGGGAGCUUGACGGUACUGUAGGAAUAAGGAUCGGCUAACUCCGUGCCAG